AGGCAUUGAGCCGGGCUUAACGGGCUACCUUGAUGUGGUAGAAUUCAAGGGUUCAACCCCUUCGGUGUCUUUGGCGAGUUGGCAGAUCAUGCAACCGACUUAGGAUCGGGAGAGGGAGCGGUAGCGCUUCACUCGCUUAA
rnacentral:tRNA from 1 species